UACGUAGGGUGCAAGCGUUGUCCGGAAUUAUUGGGCGUAAAGAGCUCGUAGGCGGUUCGUCGCGUCGGCUGUGAAAACCCGGAGCUCAACUCCGGGCCUGCAGUCGAUACGGGCGGACUUGAGUGUUGCAGGGGAGACUGGAAUUCCUGGUGUAGCGGUGAAAUGCGCAGAUAUCAGGAGGAACACCGGUGGCGAAGGCGGGUCUCUGGGCAACUACUGACGCUGAGGAGCGAAAGCGAGGGGAGCAAACGGG
rnacentral:rRNA from 1 species